rfam:Thiolapillus brandeum DNA, complete genome.
GGGGGCGACACGGAUUUCGACGCGGAUAGCAAAACCCGAGGUGCAUGUCGAGGAUGUAGAUUCCCUCGUUAAUCCAUCUGCAAACUGAUAGUUGCCAACGACGACAACUACGCACUCGCCGCCUAAGAAACGGUAGGGUGCCGCUUCACCGGAGCCGUGUCUGUGCGUCCGGAACCGAAGCGUCGAUUCUCACAGAAUCGCGAUGAAGCUCGUCCGGGGUGGAUUCGCUAAACUCUUACCGGACUCGUCGUUAUACUGCCCUGUCCGUCGGGUGGUAAACGGCUAAAUUUUAAUAGACCGGACUAAACAUGUAGAGCCAAAGGCGGAGGAUCCGCGGACGGGGGUUCGAUUCCCCCCGCCUCCACCA